UGUGCACACUGUUAGAGCUUGGAACUGAGGCCACUGGCUGGCCAGUGAGCUCUCAAGUGUAGGUAGUGUGCUACAUGAUGGGCAAGUUUUUCACUAACACCACAAGGGUCUCUGAUCCAAUGAGUAGAGUUUGAUAGUAAUCCUUGCCACAAGU
rnacentral:snoRNA from 1 species